CCCUACGGGGCGCAGCAGUGAGGAAUAUUGGUCAAUGGGCGGGAGCCUGAACCAGCCAAGUCGCGUGAGGGAAGACGGUCCUAUGGAUUGUAAACCUCUUUAGGCGGGGAGCAAUGCCGGGCACGCGUGUCCGGAGGGAGAGUACCCGCAGAAUAAGCAUCGGCUAACUCCGUGCCAGCAGCCGCGGUAAUACGGAGGAUGCGAGCGUUAUCCGGAUUUAUUGGGUUUAAAGGGUGCGUAGGCGGAUUUUUAAGUCAGCGGUAAAAUGUCCGGGCUCAACUCGGGCCGGCCGUUGAAACUGGGGG
rnacentral:rRNA from 1 species